rnacentral:rRNA from 1 species
CCUACGGGAGGCAACAGUGGGGAAUAUUGGACAAUGGGGGGAACCCUGAUCCAGCGACGCCGCGUGAGUGAAGAAGGAUUUCGGUAUGUAAAGCUCUAUCAGCAGGGAAGAAAAUGACGGUAACUGACUAAGAAGCCCCGGCUAACUACGUGCCAGCAGCCGAGGUAAUACGUAGGGGGCAAGCGUUAUGCGGAUUUACUGGGGGUAAAGGGAGCGGAGACGGUGUAGCAAGUCUGAUGUGAAAGGUCGGGGCUCAACCCCGGGACUGCAUUGGAAACUGUGGAACUGGAGUACAGGAGAGGUGAGCGGAAUUCCAAGUGUAGCGGUGAAAUGCGUAGAUAUUAGGAGGAACACCAGUGGCGAAGGCGGCUUACUGGACUGUAACUGACGUUGAGGCUCGAAAGCGUGGGGAGCAAACAGGAUUAGAUACCCCGGUAGUC